rnacentral:rRNA from 1 species
UACGUAGGCAGCAAGCGUUGUUCGGAUUCAUUGGGCGUAAAGGGUGCGUAGGUGGCGCCGUAAGUGGGGUGUGAAAUUUCGGAGCUUAACUCCGAAACUGCAUUCCAUACUGCGGUGCUUGAGGACUGGAGAGGAGACUGGAAUUCAUGGUGUAGCAGUGAAAUGCGUAGAGAUCAUGAGGAAGACCAGUGGCGAAGGCGGGUCUCUGGACAGUUCCUGACACUGAGGCACGAAGGCCAGGGGAGCAAACGGG